AUUGAACGCUGGCGGCAGGCUUAACACACGCAAGGUGAGCGGAGUGAUGGUGCUUGCACUAUCACUUAGCGGCGGACGGGUGAGUAAUGCUUAGGAAUCUGCCUAUUAGUGGGGGACAACAUCGCGAAAGGGAUGCAAAUGUCGCAUACGUCCCACGUGGGAAAGCAGGGGAUCACUUGUGCCGUUGCGCUAAUCGAUGAGCCUAAGUCGGAUAAGCUAGUUGGUGUGGUAAAGGCCUACCAAGGCGACGAUCUGUAGCGGGUCUGAGAGGAUGAACCGCCACACUGGGACUAAGACACGGCCCAGACUCCUACGGGAGGCAGCAGUGGGGACUAUUGGACAAUGGGGGGAACCCUGAUCCAGCCAUGCCGCGUGUGUGAAGAAGGCCUUAUGGUUGUAAAGCACUUUAAGCGAGGAGGAGGCUUACCCAGUUAAUACCUGGGAUAAGUGGACGUUACUCGCAGAAUAAGCACCGGCUAACUCUGUGCCAGCCGCCGCCUUAA
rnacentral:rRNA from 1 species